AACCCCUUGAUUCAGGCGAAGAGUGAAAGUCAUACCAUUAUUUUGGUAAUAGAUCAUCCGGUCUGGUAUUUCUUCGCGUGGGUAGAUUGACUCGCAUGACAAUGACAUCAAUACAUGUACUACAUGUAUAAGGAGGUGGUGACCUGCAGACAGACUACCCGUGUUUCAUUAUGUGGCAUCAGAAAAACAAAAUCAACUUCGUACAAAAGGAACUCGGAAAAGAAAGUCAACUGCAGGAAAAGGAAGACAGUACAAGAAGGGUCGUCUGUAGAGGUCUGACAGUGGUGACGCUGAACCACAGAGACUCGUACCAGAGAACAAGACAGAGACCUAUACAAUUUGUAGGCAGGACCAUUAAACAUGAGUGGGUUAUUGAUGAAACUUCACAACUGAAAGAGUGGUAUAGGGGGAAUGUAUUAUCUGUAUUGUCUGGAAAUGAUGGUGCUGUGAAUUCAGUAUAUGAAGUGCUGUAUGAAGGCGAAGCCGAACCGUAUGAAGUAGAUCAUCAGUGCAGUUCUGUGACCUAUAGUUAAUCAUUUGUUUGGAUAAUAGUAAAGUAUUUGGAAUCCAAAUACAUCACGCAACAGAAAUAGAAACACACGAGGAAAUCAACAGCAUUAAUUUGAAACCAAGUCGGACAAGAAAGGACCCAAGAUGAACAGACUCUUAUAUAGAAACAAUUGCCUCCAUGGCCAAAUAGAAAAUUAGCUAUCUCCCUAGACAAGGAUUGCGGAUUUGAGUGCGCCGGAGGUUGUGUCGGCUGAUCUUAUUUGCUUUACUUUAUGGAAUUCCUAUACCACUGGCAAAAACUGUAAAAUGGAAUUGCAUAUUUUUUUCCGGUAUCAUUACGCUUUGAUAAAUCAGUUAUUAAAAAAAACAACAUAACUUACGCUGUAAAUGUAUGGAAUACAUCAAGUGUUCUGAUAGUCUCAGACGUUCAACCAAACUCUUGUGGUCUGGUUGACGCUAAACUGUGAACUACAAGUGUCAAGUGUCUGGUUGAACGAGACUAGUUUUCUGAGUGUAAAAUUGCAACCGGUCACUGACCAGGUUUCGGACGUUGCUUGGCUGUCUGAGUGGUUUUACGUCCGCUUUUUCACUUCCAAGUAUUUCAAAUAUGUACUCCAAUCAUUACACGAUUGCUUAAGCCUACUGAGACAGCUGACUAAGGGUCGCGAUACAAAUAUGCCCAGAAUAAAUUCAUGAGAGAUACCUGUAUGAACGCAAAAUUAGUGGAAUUCUCUAAUGGUUUUUUUCUGGAACGCCUGUAUAAAAACAAAAUGUCUUGUGAUACAUAAGAUCCAUAACAUCUUCUUUUUCCUCUCAUGCCGUUCAUAUUGGUUUUCU